UCUUAUGGAUGAGCAAAGAAAGUAGUUUCUCAAGAUGGACUCUACUGCUGGUGAAAAUGCUGUGAA
rnacentral:pre_miRNA from 1 species